rnacentral:siRNA from 1 species
AAUAGCAUAGAAGAGAUGG